AGGACGAACGCUGGCGGCGUGCCUAACACAUGCAAGUCGAACGAGGUCCAUCCGGUAGCAAUACCGGAGAAGAUCAAGUGGCGAACGGGUGAGUAGCACGUGAGCAACCUGCCCCGAAGACCGGGACAACACCGGGAAACCGGUGCUAAUACCGGAUAUCCCCACCGAGUCGCAUGGCUUGGUGAGGAAAUGGAUUCCGCUUCGGGAGGGGCUCGCGGCCUAUCAGCUAGUUGGUGAGGUAACGGCUCACCAAGGCUUCGACGGGUAGCUGGUCUGAGAGGACGAUCAGCCACACUGGGACUGAGACACGGCCCAGACUCCUACGGGAGGCAGCAGUGGGGAAUCUUGCGCAAUGGGCGAAAGCCUGACGCAGCAACGCCGCGUGGAGGACGAAGGCUUUCUGAGUUGUAAACUCCUUUCAGCAGGGACGAUUGUGACGGUACCUGCAGAAGAAGCACCGGCCAACUACGUGCCAGCAGCCGC
rnacentral:rRNA from 1 species